rnacentral:rRNA from 1 species
AGACAGCAGUCGCCACGGGAAUACGUAGGGUGCAAGCGUUAAUCGGAAUUACUGGGCGUAAAGCGUGCGCAGGCGGUUAUAUAAGACAGAUGUGAAAUCCCCGGGCUCAACCUGGGAACUGCAUUUGUGACUGUAUAGCUAGAGUACGGCAGAGGGGGAUGGAAUUCCGCGUGUAGCAGUGAAAUGCGUAGAUAUGCGGAGGAACACCGAUGGCGAAGGCAAUCCCCUGGGCCUGUACUGACGCUCAUGCACGAAAGCGUGGGGAGCAAACAGGAUUAGAUACCCCGGUAGUCCCUGUCUCUUAUAC